AGUGAACGCUGGCGGUAGGCCUAACACAUGCAAGUCGAACGGCAGCACAGUAAGAGCUUGCUCUUACGGGUGGCGAGUGGCGGACGGGUGAGGAAUACAUCGGAAUCUACUUUUUCGUGGGGGAUAACGUAGGGAAACUUACGCUAAUACCGCAUACGACCUACGGGUGAAAGCAGGGGAUCUUCGGACCUUGCGCGUUUGAAUGAGCCGAUGUCGGAUUAGCUAGUUGGCGGGGUAAAGGCCCACCAAGGCGACGAUCCGUAGCUGGUCUGAGAGGAUGAUCAGCCACACUGGAACUGAGACACGGUCCAGACUCCUACGGGAGGCAGCAGUGGGGAAUAUUGGACAAUGGGCGCAAGCCUGAUCCAGCCAUACCGCGUGAGUGAAGAAGGCCUUCGGGUUGUAAAGCCCUUUUGUUGGGAAAGAAAAGCAGCAGGUGAAUACCCCGCUGUUCUGACGGUACCCAAAGAAUAAGCACCGGCUAACUUCGUG
rnacentral:rRNA from 1 species